CGCAGCGGCGGUGACUGACAGCGGCUGCUCCGGGGACGGGCGCGCACCCCGCUCCCGCCCCGCCUCCCAGUGCUUGAAAGCAGGAAUCUGAAGAGCAGGACCUGGCAAGAGAGGUCUAAAUGUCAUCGCCUAGAACCACCGGAUAACUUGAGCCCUGGAACCUGUCCCCGAUUAGGCCUGAGGUGGAUCUCUGUGUUCUGGGACUGAAGCUGGAGCUGAGACCACAGGUGCUGGCUGGAGGGCCUAGGACGCCUGUUUUCACGAAGAAAUAGGCUCCGGACUCCAGCAAGGAAGCUUCCCCGUUCUGUCACUCAGGAAAUCCUCUGUGUAGACGCUGCUUCUUUGAACACACAUUCCUUGCUAUCA